GAUUGCCUCUGCUGGUGUUUUGUAGAUGAGCCCAGGAUAAGGCAAUGCAAACUGAAUAAGAACACAGUCCAAAUGCACCAGUGCCAGUUGUUUUCCUAAGGGCUGUUGGAGUGUAGGGAAGACACCCCUGAGAGAAGAAAGAGUUCAGCUUGAGGUACUUUGAUGAGGCAAAUGGAGCAAUGGAAUAUCUCAACAGAGAUUUCUUCAUGUUCUUAUUAUAUGCUCUAGAGAAUGUGCUUGCUACUAUCAAUGUUAUCGUAUGCAUGUAUUCAACUGAUCCUUUUAAUUUAGCGCUACAGUUUAUACAGCCUUUGAAUUAUGUAACAAAGGCUGCUUGAAAGCCCAGAUUCCUUUCAGCAUGGAAGCAGUCAAGAGACCAAACAGAUUCCUCUGACUCCUGAAGUAAAGCAGCUUGCAAACACCUUAGUUUCUUGUCGAAGGCUGUUAAGUUAGAAGAGUGUAAGGCUUGAGUGCUGUGGCAAUGAAUAAAAAGAAGGGAAAGAAGGGAAUAGUCCUAAAUGUUGCAAGAAAUUAAGAUCUGUUUUGUCCAUUCUGUCUUGCAUAAAUCCAAAGUUUCACUUUAAG